GAGUUUGAUCGUGGCUCAGGAUGAACGCUGGCGGCGUGCCUAACACAUGCAAGUCGAACGGAGUUGUUCGAGGAAGUUUUCGGAUGGAAUCAAAUGACUUAGUGGCGGACGGGUGAGUAACGCGUGGGAAACCUGCCCUGUACCGGGGAGUAACACUUAGAAAUAGGUGCUAAUACCGCAUAAGCGCGACGGACCGCAUGGUCCAGUGUAGAAAACGUACCGGUGGUACGAGGAGUCGGUCCCG
rnacentral:rRNA from 1 species